rnacentral:rRNA from 1 species
UACGUAGGGACCGAGCGUUGUCCGGAUUCAUUGGGCGUAAAGAGCUCGUAGGCGGCUGCUCAAGUCGAAUGUGAAAACUCGAGGCUCAACCUCGAGCCUGCAUUCGAUACUGGGCGGCUAGAGUCUGGUAGGGGGAUCUGGAAUUCCUGGUGUAGCGGUGGAAUGCGCAGAUAUCAGGAGGAACACCGGUGGCGAAGGCGGGUCUCUGGGCCGAUACUGACACUGAGGAGCGAAAGCGUGGGGAGCGAACAGG